CCCUCCUACGCAGCUAGCCCACAAUCUCUCUCCCACGCAACUCCUCUUGACUCCACACCGCCGCCGUCGCCCGAUUCAGGCGACUUCUGUCAGCUAUGGCUGGCUCCCAGCACACCCCCAUCUUCCCCUUGCCCCGCUCUUUCCUCCCAUCCGGUUAGAUUCACUACCCCCGGUCACCAACGCUCCCUCUCAACCCAUCUUAGUAGCUAGGGUUUCGUCACCUGCAUGGCUUUGGAGGAUUCUCUCCAUCCCCUGCUACCUGCUGGAUGGUGCUCCUGGAACAGGGCCGCGCGGAGGCCCUCCUCCUGUAGGAUGUGCUGGUGCAGCGCACCCUACAGCGGCUGUUCGGGAUGAGCGCGGGCCCGACGAUGUAGGCGGCAAACGUCGGUGCUCCUUCUCGUCCUCUACCUCCAAGGAUGCGACCAGUACAGCUCAGGCACCCCCGCCCCCAAAUCCCGUACAACCAUCCAGCAUUGUGCAGCUCACGCUCGUGCAUUCUCCUCCUCCUGUACGCGACACUUGAAAUGUGGACAUGGAACUUUGCUCCCAUCUAAUCUGUUUGGGCUGUGAAAAGGGAAGAGAAGGGACGAGAGCAAUGUCUAGUUGGGUUGUGUCAAGGGAAGGGGAAGAGGGUAAUGCCAUGGAGCAGCUGCAAGGGCAUACAGGGAGAGGAGGGUUGACCCCAAUGCCAUAGAAGGUCUCUCUCUAUGUGUGUGUGUGUGUGUUAAUGAGGUAACAUAAUCAUGAGCCAAUUUAAAUAAACAUGAACAAAUUUGUUAGAUUCAUCAAUCUCUUUUGAUUCCUUAAGUUGGAGCUUAUUAGAUCUGAAGUAGAUUCAGAAAAAUCGAGCCUUUUCAUUUGGUGCUUGUUUGCAUUCACACACUGGAUGGUCAUGUGAAGAAAUUUUCAUGUGUUUGUCUAAUAUUUCCUGAAAGUCAUAUGUUUAAAAUGUUUACGCAAGUUGUUGAUGCUCUUCUGCUCUAGCCUAUGCUGGUCAAGUGGGCAGCUUAUAAAAUUGGUAUGCACAGAAGUAACAUAGAUAAUAAAAUCAAAGGGUUUAUGAUAGAAAAGCUUUUCUGUAUAUCCUCAAUGAAUAAAACUAAGUGCGGGAGAUCUCUCAAGGAAACUGUAUCAUAUUCUUUGUUGAAAGUUUCCAUGCCAUUUGAAGUUCACUUGGCAAGAAAGUAUCAUUUACUAUUUGUCAGCCCUUUGAGAUGUAGUUGUAACAUAAACAUUGCCGCUGCUCGUCGACCCGGAUGACAUAAACUUCAAAUGUUCAUGUAUCAACAAGGUACACAUCAUGGAGGAUAUUGUUUGUUAGUGAUAUGCCAUUUCGCUGGCAGGUUUAUACGGCCUCAACUACUACUGCUAUAUUACUUGGAGUUUUGUGAAGUGUAUUCUGUCACUUUGUCAUCUGACUUACAUUUGACACACUUUUCUUUGAAUUAAUAUUAAGAAGCCACAUGUUUACUCUUGUUUUAUAGUAGAUACAAUGUUAUUCUCAUUUGUAGGCAUAAGAUUUAGGAAUUCUGGACAAUAUGUAAUUCAUUUUUAUUUUUGUUGCAAUUCUCUUAUUCCUACUAUCCAUUCAUAUCUACAAAUAUCUAAUAUUCUUGUAAAUGUGGUAGGUAAGAUUGGAUAGCGUACUACUUGCUGCUGCCCAUCACAAUCAGCCACAUCAUGACAGUUCCAUCAAGAGCGUCAACAUCAAGAGCCUGAAAAACAACACCCUCAAUAGUUUAUAUGUUCUGAUGUAAAAUGGAUUGUACUGGUUCAUAACUCUGUUGUGUGAUAUAUUUUCUCAAUAUAUGUUGUAUGUUAUCAUUUUGUAGAGGAUUUUUUAAACUGCUAUGUUAGAUAUCACACCUUGCAAAUA